CAUUGUGAUGAGAAACUUACAGACCUGUACCGACCCUCCGGGGUACGAGGACAACCGUAUAUUGCCUUUUAAUUCUGAAC
rnacentral:snoRNA from 1 species